GAUGAACGUUGGCGGCGUGCCUAAUACAUGCAAGUCGAACGAAGAGCUUAAAGUAGCAAUACUUUGAUAACUCUUAGUGGCGAACGGGUGAGUAACGCGUUGGUGACCUGCCCCAAAGAUAGGGAUAACAGUUCGAAAGGACUGCUAAUACCUAAUGUUAUCAUUUGGCUUAGAUGCCUUUUGAUUAAAGGAGCUUGCUCCACUUUGGGAGGGGCCUGCGUCCCAUCAGCUAGUUGGUAGGGUAAUGGCCUACCAAGGCUAUGACGGGUAGGGGACCUGAGAGGGUGGCCCCCCACAAUGGAACUGAAACACGGUCCAUACACCUACGGGUGGCAGCAGUAGGGAAUAUUGGUAAUCUGCGAAAGCGGGAACCAGCAACGCCGCGUGCGCGAUGAAGGCCUUCGGGUUGUAAGCGGCUUUUCGGGAGGAAGAGGAAGGACUGUACUCCCGGAAUAAGUCUCGGCUAACUACGUGCCAGCAGCCGCGGUAAUACGUAGGAGGCUAACGUUAUCCGGAUUUACUGGGCGUAAAGCGCGUGCAGGCGGUUCGUUAAGUUGGACGUGAAAGCUCCCGGCUCAACUGGGAGAGGUCGUUCAAUACUGGCGGACUUGAGGAUGGUAGAGGGGAGGG
rnacentral:rRNA from 1 species